ACAUGCAAGUCGUACGAGAGUUUGUUAACUCAUCUGGCGAAUGGGUGGAGUAACACGUAGAAUUUUGCCUUUGUGAGGGGGAUAACAACGGGAAACGGCUCUGCGUAAUACCCCGUAUGCUUUCCAGUGAAAUGGAUUUCCGCCUAAUCAAAAGCUUGCGGCUGAUUAGCUUGUUGGUGAGGUAAUGGCUCACCAGGGCAACGAUUACUAUCUGGUUUGAGAGGAUGAUCAGACACACGGGAACUGAGACACGGUCCAGAGUCCUACGGGAGGCAGCAGUGGGGAAUUUUCCGCGGUGAGCCAAGGCCUGAGGGAGAAAUACCGCGUGAGGGAUGACGGCCUAUGGAUUGUAAACCUCUUUUUUCAGGGAGGAAUCAGUGAGGUGUACGUGAAGAAUAAGCAUGGGCUAACUACGUGCCAGCAGCAGCGGUAAGACGGAGGAUGCAAGUAUUAUCCGUAAUCAUUGGGCGUAAAGAGUGGGUAGCUGGUGCAAUAAGUCAACUGUUAAAUAAUGAGGCUUAUCAUCAAAAUGGCAGUGGAAAAUGUUAGAUUAGAGUAUUGUAGGGGUAAAGAGAAUUUCCAGUGGAGCGGUGAAAUGCGUAGAUAUUGGAAGGAACAACCGAUGGCGAAGGCACUGUUCUGGGGUAUUAUUAACACUGAGAGACGAAGAGAUAGGGUAGCAAAUGGGAUUAGAUACCCCAGUAGUGUUAGCUGUAAACCAUGGAUAUUAGAUGUUGAACAGAUUGACUUGUGCAGUAUCAAAGCUAACGCGUUAAGUAUCCCGCCUGGGAAGUAUGCUC
rnacentral:rRNA from 1 species